rnacentral:rRNA from 1 species
ACCCGCUGAACUUAAGCAUAUCAAUAAGCGGAGGAAAAGAAACCAACAGGGAUUACCUCAGUAACGGCGAGUGAAGCGGUAACAGCUCAAAUUUGAAAUCUGGCCCCCUCGGGGCCCGAGUUGUAAUUUGUAGAAGAUGCUCUGGGUGUGGGCCCGGCCUAAGUUCCUUGGAACAGGACGUCGUAGAGGGUGAGAAUCCCGUAUGCGGCCGGUGCCCUCGCCCGUGUAAAGCUCUUUCGACGAGUCGAGUUGUUUGGGAAUGCAGCUCUAAAUGGGUGGUAAAUUUCAUCUAAAGCUAAAUACUGGCCAGAGACCGAUAGCGCACAAGUAGAGUGAUCGAAAGAUGAAAAGCACUUUGGAAAGAGAGUUAAACAGUACGUGAAAUUGUUGAAAGGGAAGCGCUGGCAACCAGACUUGCGCGCUGCUGAUCCGCGGGGGUUCUCCCCCGGGCACUCGGCGGCGCGCAGGCCAGCAUCGGUUUGGGUGGCUGGAGAAAGGCCGGUGGAAUGUAGCUGCCCUCGGGCAGUGUUAUAGCCACCGGCGCCAUGCAGCCCACCCGGACCGAGGACCGCGCUUCGGCUAGGAUGCUGGCGUAAUGGUUGUCAGCGACCCGUCUUGAAACACGGACCAAGG